rnacentral:snRNA from 1 species
GUGCUUGCUUUGGUAGCACAUAUACUAAAACUGAAAUGAUACAGAGAAGAUUAGAAUGAUCCUGCACAACGAUGACAUACAAAAUCAUGAUGCAUUCCAAAUUUUU